UUACACACGUGACAUUACCAUUUUUGCUGGGAAAGCCAAUACUCUGUGCCCUGCUGCUAACCCCUCUUGUCUGUGCUGUGAAUUUACAGGUCGGUCAGUAACAAGAAUUGGCGACUCUGUGGAGUUAGAACACGCUCUGCGUUAUGGUGAUACGUGUCUGGGUCAACCCAUGGAUUUCAAUGGAACUGCUGCAGAUUCAUGCCAGGGCAGGCUGGUAAGAACAUCGGGCAAGUGCAGGGGUCUUGCACCGGGAUGGAAGGACUUCCUGCAACGCUCCCUCUGCGUUGGGCUCUGCAAUGCUGGACAAAGGCACAGAAACAUGUGAAGCUGUGGGGCAGAGGAGCUGAGGACCAUGAAUGAAAUGCAGAAGACCCAGGAACUGUGGGACGCUAUGGAGAUCUGCAAAAGCACUGAUCAGACUGCAAGUUUCAAAGAGGGGAAAGAAGUGCUGGCAGGCAGCGGCUGCAGAUAAAACGGCAGGCCUGGAAACCUCGAGCAUUGUUCAGAAAAUGCAUCUGGAAACAAACCAGCAGUGUCUCCGGAGCGGCUACUUGGGAGAAAGGAAGUCUAACCAGAAGAGAUCAGUGCUGAUUCAGGACAAAAAUUAUUUUAAAAAACCACACUCUGGGGCCUUUUUUUUCCUCCUAUUGUGAAUGCAUUUUAAUGAGACUUCAUUUUCAUUUUUGACUGAACCAUCACAGGCUCUUGAAGCUGUGCGGGGCACUGCAAUAAGCUCGCAGUAAUGGAGUGCACAGCUCGGGCUGGCACUGCUUGGGCUGCUUCAUGCUGGGGGAGCGUGGGAGGCGAAGGUUUUAUGCUCUUGGGAAAAAGGUUCAGAGCACAGACUGGCUUUGGUGUGGCUGCUCCAUUACUAAGGCCAACAAGACAUCGGAGAUGUCCUCUGGGAACACUCUACAGUCAUUUCAAAUGAGCCUUGGUGAGGUUGGAGUAAGGAAAGCGCAGAAAGCAGCUGCUUCUCGCAGGUGCCAGCUACUUUGGGGGUGAUUAUCUGUUUGUGUAAUGUAAAAAUUAAAUCCCAGCUCCAUCCCCUAUGCAAAACUUUGGGAAGCUUGGACCCAGGUCUGAAUGCUGCAUCCCAAGGCCUUGGCUUUCACUCAGUCAUCAGUUUCCUCCUUCCCACCAGCACGGGGUGGAAUGGCACCGAGGUAUCAGAGGGGGGAGGCAGUUCUCAGCAUUUUCCAUUACAGUGGUAGCGGGAAGUGCAGACGCACACCAUUUUAUUGGUGAUUCUCAUAUGGUUAUGCAGAAACCAAGAUCUGCAUCAGUUAUGCAAAUGCUGCAAGUUUUCCAGCCCCCCUCUGAUUCCAACCCCAAGAAGCAAGUCUCCUGCUGCCUACCAUCACUGUCACAUUUCAGAGGGGCAAACCCUCUGCUUUCAGGUGCCCUCCACAUGUGCAGCUGUGAGUGGCUGUGGCCUGCCUCUUCUUCCCAGCUGAAGACAGCUCCUUCAAAUCAUUUUUGCCCAAAACACAAGCGGAUGGACUGCUAGUCACAGCAUUAAUAUGAAACAAAUGUUUUGAGCAUGUAGCGUUGACUUACAAGGGAAAAUACAAGCUCUUGGAAUUUUUCCACUGAACAAUGGCAGGGACCUUUGCAGCAGCUGUUUCAAAUAGAUGUUGUGAUUAAUGGGGAUCAUUCAGGAAUGAGAACCAGACCCAUCAUCACACGUCUGACAGCACAGUGCUGCAGGCAGGCAGGAGACUCUUUUUAACCAAAGAAUGCCUCUCUGAAGGCAAACAGUUUGACCCAGAGGGAUGCAAGGCACACGGGAGGUUCCUGACUGUCACUAAUAUUUAAGUUGUUGCCCUGAGCUAGAAGCAGUCUGUGGGCAGGAGUGCUUCAGUGGCUCCGUGCUUGGCUUUUGUAGUGAGGAAGGCACCGGUUCAGCUCACACUGCUGAGCCCUCCAUCCCUGCACACAGCAGCCUGAACCCAUUUGGAGCCCUCCCCUGCAGGGACAGCCAGAGCUUCUUCCACCCACAUCAGCAGGCAGCAGCUUCUCCUCCACUGAGGUUUCCCCACCUUCACCCAAGUAUGCAAUGUGCUCUUGGAAAUCUAAUCUUCACUGCAUUCUGCUUCCUGUUCAUGCCGAGAUCCCAUGGAGCUGCAUCAAGGAAGGGUCAGGCUGGAUGUUGGGAAAAGACUCAGCACCAGAGGGCAGUGGGCACAGAACAGAGUCCCCAGGGCAGCCCCACACUAGCAGAGCUCAGGGAGCAUUUGGACACCACUCUCAAACAUGGAGUUGGGUGGUGCUGUGUGGAGUCAGGAGAUAGACUUGAUGAUGCCUGCAGGCUCCUUCUGACUUGGGAACUUCUGUCAUUCUGUGAUUCUAGCUGGCUAAGCCCUCGUUCCACCAUCUCCCUGAUUUCUACACAGCUUCAGCUCACAGCUGGCACCAGCCCUCAUCACAGGCUCAUCACAGGCAGUCCCAGCCCUGGUCCUGACCCCAGCUGUGCAUGGGCACCUGGACUACCACGGCCCCAGGAGAGGUGCUUCAGGCUGUCAGGGCAGCAGCACCGAUAAUUAGCUCUGUAACGUGCCCAUAGCCUCAGCCUGUGUGAUAAGAAUUACAUUUCUUUCCUCUUUUUUCUUUCCUGAGAAAGCCCUCUUGCACAAUGUUCAUUUUUAGCAGAGCCGGAGCUGGAUCGGACGCCUCAAGGGCUCUGCUCUCCAAGAGAGAAGAUCAGCACUUCCCCCCCCAUGGUUAAGCUACAGGCACAAAACAGAAAGAUUACAAAAUAAAUAAAUAAUCACUAAUUCACUCUUUUUUCCUCUGGCAGGCUGGAAAGCCAUGCUCCAUUGGCACAGGCAGCCCUACUUGUUCCUGUGACUUUUCCUUCAUUGUAGUUCAUAAUUAUGUGAGCUAAAAUGAAAGAUUAAGAACUACAAAGUCACAAGCUUUAGAACAAACAGUGAUCUUCAGCUGUGUUCAGAAGACAUUAUGAUAUGUAUGAAGACAAUGCAGUAUUGCUUCUGUGACUACAGCAAACACUUUGAAAAAGAGAUUUUUCUAAAGGCCUUUUCCAGGCUUUCCCCUGUGGGUAUAAUGGGGUGUCCUCCAAUUAGCUGCUGUGGAAUCAAUUAUGUUAUUGCUCAACUCUUCUGAGAAAUUCCAACCAGAGCUGGCAAGCAUUGGAAAUAAAGCACUGAGCAGAUGGAGAUGCUCUGAAAUGCCAAAUAUCUUCCUUUUACGUUAUGUAGGAAGAUAGUCAGGCUUCUGGACAUCCCCCUCUCCUGCAAAGACACCUGGGCAGCGUGGAACUGAGAGGACAUGCCCAGCACAAGGAGCCCCAACCCAAACGACCACUGACAGCCCAGCAGCUUUUCUGCCCCACACCACAAGCACCUCCUGGGGUCCUGCACUGAAGCAAAAUGCUGAACUAGCUGGCAACCAUCAGUAAGGCUAUCCAAAUUGGUCAGAGAAAACAACAGCUGGAACUGUUCUCCAAACCUCAAGCUAUUGUGGUUAUUUUCCAAUUCCCUGUGGCUGUCUUCUCAACCAUGGCAAUAGAUGCCAGUUUAGUGCCCUGGCCUUAUAAAAAGCAGGCCACACUAGGAAGCCUGCUAGGAAGCUUGAUCCCAUCAAGUCACCAGAUGCAACCAAACUUCCAGUUGCUUUCUUAUGCUUAAACAUUCAAUCUGUUGGAGUUUGUCAACCAUUAGUGACAAGGCAACUGGCCCAACGGGCAAGUAUUUAGUUCCUCAGCUGAUUCACAUGUCCCUUGUUACCCCUGCAUGCAAUGCAACUACCAUACACUCAUCUGGU